UCCCAGUACAAUUCCAAACCCAUAUAUAAUCUGUGUUUUGUAAUGUAAUCUGUAUUUUCUUUUGUUCACAGCUUUCUUGGACGAGGAUAUGACACACAACAUUGUACAUCUGCCUAAUUUGACUGGCUUUUACCAACCCUGCUGGAAAGACCAGCUUAGACCAGUAUGAACUGGCUGUUUUGCAGUAAACUUGCCUCAGGGGGCGUUGUUGAGCAUCGCUGUAUGGAAAAGAGAAGGGUGAAGAUUUUCCUUUAGUGUUCGGAGGCACAUGAGAUGCACAAAAUACAGAGUUUGCUGGAUGUAUACACAUCAUCAUUAUCAUUGCUUGUACAAGAAAGCCAGUGCAAAUGUUCUAAGACUGUGAGGUUUACCAACAUGGAAAAGGUCAGAGCUGGACAACUGACGGUUGGAUGCUGCCCACUGCUUCAGGCCUGGGUAUAUAAACAGCCAGAGCGGACACGGCAGGAUGUGGAGAAAGACUGGUUUGUGUGAGAAAUGUCUAGCAUUUCCUGUGAGGUGGAGAACCAACAAAUCGUCUGACAUGCAGCUUUCAAAAGUCGCAUCCUUAUAUCAGUCUGACAUAAUUUGCAGCAUGCUGUGUGCGACCCAAAAGAUGAGGUGAACAAACAUCAUGAAAAUGAGUCCUGUGAAACACAAGGUGAUUGCAAUGAGCAUAUCAUGCCUGUGGGAGGUUGAAGAUUUCCUGGAACUUGCAUAUUUAAGUAUUUUUAGAAACUUUCCAGCUAACAAUCUGUUCUUGAUAACUGCUUUUCUUUUUCUUUAUAACCAAGAGAAACCAAGUACUUGGCUUGGACCUGCAAACAAUGCUCAAACGUGGUUUCACCUUCAGCAGACUCGAAGAAAAGCAGUGUGAGUUCUUCUCAGGUGUUUAUUGCUACUGUCUGGGGCUAUUAAAUGUGGCAAUGAGCCAGUGAAAAUGACAGAUCUUUAUACUGUGAAACAGGUGGAACUGGUUGGUUUGAUUAUGACAUCAAAGCAGCAGCUUUUUAGUUGAGAAAGAGGUAUGUUUGAACUGAAUAACCAAAAUAAGCUCUCUCUUGGGACACAUCAUUGAAUUAGGUCACACAAACAUUGUAUGUUUAUAAUAGUUAAGCAACAAAUGAUACACUGGAAAUAAUGCUUGGAAUUUUUACGUCAAAAGACUAAAAAUGCUCACUCUUAAAAAUAAAGGUUGUUUAUUGGCAUCUGUGAAGAAACUUAAACAUCCAUGAAACCUUUUCCA